AAUAUUGCGCAAUGGAGGGAACUCUGACGCAGCGACGCCGCGUGAGCGAUGAAGGUCUUCGGAUCGUAAAGCUCUGUCCUUGGGGAAGAAGGUCUUCGGACUUGACGGUACCUAAGGAGGAAGCACCGGCUAUCUACGUGCCACCAGCCGCGGUAACACGUAGGGGGCAAGCGUUGUCCGGAAUUAUUGGGCGUAAAGGGUGCGUAGGCGGCCUUUUAAGUCAGAUGUGAAAGCCCUCGGCUUAACCGAGGAGGGUCAUUGGAAACUGGAGGACUUGAGUGCAGGAGAGGAGAGUGGAAUUCCACGUGUAGCGGAGAAAUGCGUAGAUAUUAGGAGGAACACCAGUGGCGAAGGCGACUUUCUGGCCUAACCCUGACGCUGAGGCGCGAAAGCGUGGGGAGCAAAC
rnacentral:rRNA from 1 species